UCCCUUGGGGCCCGGUUCCCCGCGGCCGGCCCCCCUCUUUCCACCGUGGUGGGCGCCUGCCCGGGGCUUUACCCUGUUCUCUGCGCCCUGCCUCUCAGCUCUCGGUCGUGUUUUAAAGGUUGGACGGAGGAUUCUUGAGGUCCUCUCUAACCUGGGGUUCUGUGGUAUUUUGUGGGAUCCUCCCCUUGUGUCACGAUGUCCCCGGGGACCCCCUGUCCCCACCCUUUCACCUCCUUGCUCUCGCUGUCGACGCAGAAUCCUCGCCUUGGUCACACCCGACGCCGGCUUCGCCUCUGCUGCGGGGAGAAAGGAUUUGGUUUCUCUCCACAGUCGGGUGCAGCAGUUUUCCCGGUGGCCCCAGCGACCUCCCUUGGGGCAUGCUGGCAGCCUGUCCCCACAUGCUCUGCCAGCUCCCAGCGAGGGCCCACCUGGCUCCUUCCAUCACCGGCUCAUCCCCAGCUCCUGUGAGGGCGGUGGGGUGGCCAUCCCUGCACAGUGUCUUCACUGCUAUUGAUGUGGCUUAGCAGAAAUGAUCACGCUCGUGGGUGGGGUCUGUUUCCUCACCCAACAAAGCUGUCCUUCCCUGUCUGCAAGCGAGCUGCUGGGCUGCUGGCAAAAGUGACCUUUCAGUGGUGCGCAGCUUCUCAUUAAGGUAGUCUUCUUGACAUCAUGAAGGAGAGCUGUGUGUUUCGCUAGGCUUUCCUCUUUCCAUUUAGUCUGUGUUGUGAGACAGGCUGUAUACCUAAUGUCCUUUCUCCCUAGGUUUAUUGCAGCGUUUUUCUUUCUCAACAUCAUCUUCUUUUGCAGAUGGAGAGUUCAGGUCAGCAGUUUCUAACCUUCUCAGUGAGUGACUCUGGCAAUUUAAGGGAAUUCAUGCCUCCAUUCAUUCUUGCAGUACCCGUUGGUGUAAUGAGUGUAGAUGCCUACAUCUGGAAAAAAGGAAAUUUUGGCAGAGGGUUGAAUUGGAUCUGGCUUUCUGUGCGUGAUACAAAUCCCUUAAAUGAUUGGCCCUACAGCCAUUCACCAAGGUUCUUCUGGAAGUAAUUGAUUAAAGAGGAAACCUCUUGAGAAGGUGUCCUGUACAAGAAGUGUCAGUUGAAAGGAAGACUCUAUGUUAGCAUGUUUUAAAGAGCAGCCCAUCCAUGAAGGAAGAAUUCUGAGCUCUGUUAAAAUAUCUGUCCACCUGGUUGUUCUCCUUGUUGUUACAAUAAAGCAACUGAGUAAUCUGUGUGAAAGUAAUGUUAUUUCAAAGUGCUACUGAUAACUACAGUGAUUAGAAUUUCUCAGAUUCUCCUCUACUGCAGCAGUGACGCCAGCAAUGGCAAUCCAGAAAUGUGGAAAGGUGCUUUGCCUGCUGGGACCUGCUGCGAAGAAUCCCACCACAGCAGCUACACAACUUGGGCUGCUUUUGCAGCUGGAAGCGGAGAGUUUCAGGAAAAACCUCAGGCAGAGUCUUUGACCUGUAGCAACAAGGAAAUGCUAUUUCCAAAGCACUUGUGUACACAGUAGAUGACAUUGAAGGUGACUGGCUGAAUCUCUCCUUACUUUUGGAAAAAAAAAAUAC